rnacentral:rRNA from 1 species
AUUGAACGCUGGCGGCAGGCCUAACACAUGCAAGUCGAACGAGUGGCGGACGGGUGAGUAAUGUCUGGGAAACUGCCUGAUGGAGGGGGAUAACUACUGGAAACGGUCGCUAAUACCGCAUACCAUCGGAUGUGCCCAGAUGGGAGUAGCUUGUAGGUGGGGUAACGGCACACCUAGGCGACGAUCCCUAGCUGGUCGGAUAGGAUGACCAGCCACACUGGAACUGAGACACGGUCCAGACUCCAACGGGAGGCAGCAGUGGGGAAUAUUGCACAAUGGGCGCAAGCCUGAUGCAGCCAUGCCGCGUGUAUGAAGAAGGCCUUCGGGUUGUAAAGUACUUUCAGCGGGGAGGCGUUACCCGCAGAAGAAGCACCGGCUAACUCCGUGCCAGCAGCCGCGGUAAUAC